rnacentral:rRNA from 1 species
CCUACGGGAGGCAGCAGUAGGGAAUAUUGCUCAAUGGGGGAAACCCUGAAGCAGCAACGCCGCGUGGAGGAUGAAGGUUUUCGGAUUGUAAACUCCUUUUGUUAGAGAAGAUAAUGACGGUAUCUAACGAAUAAGCACCGGCUAACUCCGUGCCAGCAGCCGCGGUAAUACGGAGGGUGCAAGCGUUACUCGGAAUCACUGGGCGUAAAGAGGGCGUAGGCGGGAUAGCAAGUCAGAUGUGAAAUCCUAUGGCUUAACCAUAGAACUGCAUUUGAAACUGUUAUUCUAGAGUAUGGGAGAGGUAGGUGGAAUUCUUGGUGUAGGGGUAAAAUCCGUAGAGAUUAAGAGGAAUACUCAUGGCGAAGGCGACCUGCUAGAACAUAACUGACGCUGAUGCGCGAAAGCGUGGGGAGCAAACAGGAUUAGAUACCCGGGUAGUC